UGGGUUACCUGCCCCGAGGUGGGGGAUAACCGAGGGAAACUUCGGCUAAUACCGCGUAUGGCCUACGGGUCAAAGUCUUCGGACGCCUUGGGAGGGGCCCGCGGCCCAUUAUCUAAUCCUUGUUGGUGGGGUAACGGCCUACCAAGGGUACGAUGGGUAGCUGGUCUGAGAGGAUGAUCAGCCACACUGGGACUGAGGCACGGCCCAGACUCCUACGGGAGGCAG
rnacentral:rRNA from 1 species